UCCACACUCCGGCAAGAUUGAAGGACGCUCGGCGUAGGAGUUCCAGAGAGAACGUUCGACUGGUGAAGCUGUGGAUUAACGAGCGCUUGUUAUUGGAAUUUGAGUAGAGAAUCUGUGAACGUUCGUCAUUUCCGGAGGGAGAUGAGCGUUUGGAAGAAGCAUUGAAUGAAGAGAGCCUGGUUGAUGUUGAAGUGAAGAUCGAGCAGUGAGAUCGCUCGGCCAGUAU